GUCUAUGGCCAUAUCACCCUAAACAUGCCCAAUCUCAUUUGAACUCAGAAGUUAAGCAGGAUUGGGCCUGGCUAGUAGUUGGAUGGGGAAAAGAAAGGAGGUGAGGAGA
rnacentral:rRNA from 1 species